rnacentral:rRNA from 1 species
AUUGAACGCUGGCGGCAGGCUUAACACAUGCAAGUCGAGCGAGCGGCGGACGGGUGAGUAAUGUCUGGGAAACUGCCUGAUGGAGGGGGAUAACUACUGGAAACGGUAGCUAAUAACGCAUACCAUCAGAUGUGCCCAGAUGGGAUUAGCUAGUAGGUGGGGUAAUGGCUCACCUAGGCGACGAUCCCUAGCUGGUCUGAGAGGAUGACCAGCCACAUUGGAACUGAGACACGGUCCAGACUCCUACGGGAGGCAGCAGUAGGGAAUCUUCCACAAUGGGCGCAAGCCUGAUGCAGCCAUGCCGCGUGUGUGAAGAAGGUCUUCGGGUUGUAAAGCUCUUUCAUCGGGGAGGCGUUACUCGACGAGAAAGCACCGGCUAACUCCGUGCCAGCCGCCGCGGUAAUUC